GCAUUUCAUAGAUAAUACUGCUUCAUCAGAUGAUCUGUGCAGGUGUAAUGUAUUUUAUCUGUUUAUUUUUUUUUAAAUUUAUUCUAAUUAAUGGAUAAGUAAUUUCAGUCAUUGAGCCAGGGCACUCUGCUAUAACUCACCUCACGUGUACUACAUUAUAAAUUCUUGGGCUGUAGUAGGCUGAUUACGAUUAAAUAUGUAAUAUUUAUAUCUACCAACCUUAUCUGCCUACUUACUGUGACGAGGUGGGCAGGAAAUAGAGCAGGCUGCACAGUUUGCUGUGCAGGGGACAGACCUGUUCCUAAAGAGGGUGGUGAGGCUGGCUAUCAAUCUGCCCCCUCAAGCAUGAAAUGCUGCUGAAGUGCUCUGUGGAUGGUCCCAGUCCCCCUCUAGCAUUUUGAAAUCUGACAGCUGAUCUCAAUAUGUGGGACAGGCCCCUG